rnacentral:rRNA from 1 species
GACGAACGCUGGCGGCGUGCCUAAUACAUGCAAGUCGAGCGGACAGAUGGGAGCUUGCUCCCUGAUGUUAGCGGCGGACGGGUGAGUAACACGUGGGUAACCUGCCUGUAAGACUGGGAUAACUCCGGGAAACCGGGGCUAAUACCGGAUGGUUGUUUGAACCGCAUGGUUCAAACAUAAAAGGUGGCUUCGGCUACCACUUACAGAUGGACCCGCGGCGCAUUAGCUAGUUGGUGAGGUAACGGCUCACCAAGGCAACGAUGCGUAGCCGACCUGAGAGGGUGAUCGGCCACACUGGGACUGAGACACGGCCCAGACUCCUACGGGAGGCAGCAGUAGGGAAUCUUCCGCAAUGGACGAAAGUCUGACGGAGCAACGCCGCGUGAGUGAUGAAGGUUUUCGGAUCGUAAAGCUCUGUUGUUAGGGAAGAACAAGUACCGUUCGAAUAGGGCGGUACCUUGACGGUACCUAACCAGAAAGCCACGGCUAACUACGUGCCAGCAGCCGCGGUAAUACGUAGGUGGCAAGCGUUGUCCGGAAUUAUUGGGCGUAAAGGGCUCGCAGGCGGUUUCUUAAGUCUGAUGUGAAAGCCCCCGGCUCAACCGGGGAGGGUCAUUGGAAACUGGGGAACUUGAGUGCAGAAGAGGAGAGUGGAAUUCCACGUGUAGCGGUGAAAUGCGUAGAGAUGUGGAGGAACACCAGUGGCGAAGGCGACUCUCUGGUCUGUAACUGACGCUGAGGAGCGAAAGCGUGGGGAGCGAACAGGAUUAGAUACCCUGGUAGUCCACGCCGUAAACGAUGAGUGCUAAGUGUUAGGGGGUUUCCGCCCCUUAGUGCUGCAGCUAACGCAUUAAGCACUCCGC